rnacentral:rRNA from 1 species
GACGAACGCUGGCGGCGUGCUUAACACAUGCAAGUCGAACGGAAAGGCCCUGCUUUUGUGGGGUUCUCGAGUGGCGAACGGGUGAGUAACACGUGAGUAACCUGCCCUUGACUUUGGGAUAACUUCAGGAAACUGGGGCUAAUACCGGAUAGGAGCUCCUGCUGCAUGGUGGGGGUUGGAAAGUUGCGGCGGUUGGGGUUGGACUCGCGGCUUAUCAGCUUGUUGGUGGGGUAGUGGCUUACCCAGGCUUUGACGGGUACCCGGCCUGAGAGCGUGAACGGCCACAUUGGGACUGAGGUACGCACCAGACUCGUACGGGAGGCAGCAGUGGGGAAUCUUGCACAAUGGGCGGAAGCCUGAUGAAGAAACGCCGCGUGCGUGAUGACGGCCUGCGGGUUGUGAACCGCUUUCGCCUGUGACGAAGCGGGAGUGACGGUACUGAGUAAAGAAGCACCGGCUAACUACGUG